UGGGGAAUAUUGCACAAUGGGCGCAAGCCUGAUGCAGCCAUGCCGCGUGUGUGAAGAAGGCCUUCGGGUUGUAAAGCACUUUCAGCGAGGAGGAAGGCAUUAAGGUUAAUAACCUUAGUGAUUGACGUUACUCGCAGAAGAAGCACCGGCUAACUCCGUGCCAGCAGCCGCGGUAAUACGGAGGGUGCAAGCGUUAAUCGGAAUUACUGGGCGUAAAAGCGCACGCAGGCGGUUUGUUAAGUCAGAUGUGAAAUCCCCGAGCUUAACUUGGGAGCUGCAUUUGAAACUGGCAAGCUAGAGUCUUGUAGAGGGGG
rnacentral:rRNA from 1 species